UAUUUUAUACUCUAUAUACUCUAUAUACUCUAUUUUUUAUUUUGCUACCUUUAGCUGUCAGUGAACUAGGGCACUUGUUCAGUCUCAAAGGAGCUGGUUUAACUCCGUGCUCUUACCGCAGGGGGGAAAGAACGGAGAGUCUCGAAGAACAGUCCGGCUCCGAUGAGCAUAUCAAUCCGAUGCGGCUUAUGGAUCGAAGGGUCAGCAAGCUGGAUAUUCAAAGGUAUAGGCCAAUUAGCAGAGCUAAUUGAGACGCGAGGUUGACUGCCCGUAAUCUUCUGGGGAACGACGGCAGAUACCUUAAGUUGAGAAGCUAGCAUCUUCUAUGCCAGAGACUGCAGCAAGCAGCUUGGUUUUUCGCACUUGAAGCUGACGAGUAGUUACGAAAUGCAAUUGCGAGCCCGAGUCCAACAAUGCGCGACAUGGCAUGAAAGUUCCAGCACUGUUUUUGACGAGAACGACGACGGUGGCUAAUAUAACAGGCUCAGACGGACGCUGGGAUAUAUGCGCUUGCGCCAAGGAGGGCGACAAUGCUGCCAUGGCGGUAUGAUUUGGUUGCGGCUCAAUUGAAGAAACAGUAUGGAAGGGUUCUGUUGGACGAAGAAAAUGCAGAAGUGUGGUGCUUCGAUUGGCAAGCAAUUGACGCUUAACAAGAACCUCUUUGCUUCCUUGUGACGAUCAUUCGGCGAUAGAGUUUUGAACCGUUGACAAUUGGCAAUCAUAUGGUUCGUGUCAUCCCAAAAAACACAGGAAACAGGAGCGCACGAUGCUACAAACGAUUUUCGAUGAUGCGUACUCACGGUGACUUCCCUGACUUGCCAACCUGACCAUCUUGCCCUUGUAUGGAGUGGUGAAUGCCUUCAAGGGUCUUUGUUCGACAUCUUUGUUCCAGAAAUGCAGAUAAUUACUCCAGGAUAGAAUAUCGUGAUUCGACGACGCUGCUUCCCAUUUAACUUGAGUCUGCCUGUCCAAAUUCUUCCAGAGUGCGUGGACGAUGAUGCAAUCAGCUAUUUCCUCCUUAGUUGCAAGCGCUUCCAACGCGCGAAGAUGUGAGGUGGCGGCAUCCGUAAACGCCCGCUGCGAAACAAUAGAGAAGUCUCCACGUGCCAGCCCAAAUAUGUCUCUAAUGUGUGCCUGUAGAAUGAGACGUUUAUUAGCAAAUCGAUUUUUGAGAAUAUCUAAUGCGGUAUUGUAAUUAGCCUCGCUCAUCUUCAACGAACUAUUGGUGUCCAACGCCGCUUUGCUUAAACAAGACCGCAAAUGCUGUAACUUAUCGAUAAAAGUCAGCUCAGCUUCACUAUCAAUCACAGCUGUGAACAUGGAAUAGAAGCUUGUCCACUCUGUAUAGGCUGCGCUAAACUUGGGCAAGUGCAGCUGUGGCAAGCGCGAUCCAUUGGCCAUGUACAUUAUGGAUUGGGAUUCACUUGGGUUCAUUUGAAACGUGAAAUAAUGGGCUGGGAACACUUGCCCAACUCACGCUGUAGAAUGGUCCUCAAUGAUAGGAUGGACGAGUCAAAUUUUCCUGGUAUUUCACUGGACAUAGAUUCAAAAUUCAUUUCAAACUGGUGUGUGCCACAAUAAAAUUGGAUUUCAGCUCCGUCAAUGAUUCCAAGAA